UAUUGAUAAAAGAAUCUGAAGCGGAACAGGCUGUUCUUGUGGAGAAUGGAGAAGUUCCCGCUGUUGAGGAAGACCCGGUUGCUGAGGUUGUUGAUGAGGUGCAGGAUUCUUCAUAGCUGGCAGUUGAAUAUCACACUAAAGUUGAGGAAAUGCCAAAGAAGCCGUAUGCAUCUAUUGAUAUACAGUCCAGUUGAAUUAGAACUCACACAAAAAUAAUGAUUUACAAGAGGGUGUCGAAUGAGAGGUCCCAGCUCAAUCUCUUCAAACUGCUGAACUCCCGCAUUCUUGAAGAUUGACGCCUCCAAGUCAUAUAAUGUGAAGUAUUGCAAAUUGUCAACCGUUGGAAUAUGCUAAAGACAAGGGUGAAGAGGAUUCAGUGUUUGUGGCGACUAAAUAUUGACACUUAAAUUUUUGACAAUGACAUUCAGCAGCAGAAGCAAGUGCUGAAUUUGAAGGAGAUGAAUAAGAUAGCACACUUUGUUGUUGAUAUGCUCCGAUACAGGAAUACGAUUUGGAGCCACAUCAUAUUCGAGCACGCAUC